GCCAAAACCUGUACAGCCCAAACUUCGAAAUGCAGAACUAUAGAAUUCAGUUUCAGUUCCAAGUUAUGUCAAGCUGUGACAAUGGCAUUGUUCCACUUACAGCGGUGAUCCAGUGCGGAAACUAUGACUCCCAAGCCAAUCAACAUCUGAGUGCAGCCCAUGUAGAAACUAUAGCACAAACUUCGGAAGGUUGAGAUGAAACAUGUUGUGGAUUAUGUUAAAUUCAUUUGGGUUAAUUAUGGCAAAGUAUAAAUGACUCCCUGUCAUACACCUCCUGAGCCACAGUGUGUCUGAACUACAAAGUGCCAUUUCCCAGGUCUUCCUUGAAGACCGUGUUUAGUCUACUAAUAAGUCAGAGGUAUUUUCAAUAACAAUUGAUGAAAGCACUGACAGGGGCAAAAAGAAAGACUAAUCAUUUAUUUCCCAAGUGUCUGUGAAUCUGGACUUUACUUCUUCCUUCUGAUCAGUGAUGGCUCAUCAAAUGCAAAAAGCAUUGGGUCAUUAGUGGUGUAAGAACUAAAAGGCAAAGGGCUUGACAUAAAAAAUAUGGAGGGCAUUGAAAGUGAUGGUGCAAGUGUAAUGACAGGGAAGACUGGUGGUAUUGUCAAACUUCUCCAAGGACACUCCCCAUCUCUCAUAAGGGUACAUUGUGCAGCUCAUAGAACCUCGCUGGCAA